rnacentral:sRNA from 1 species
UGUUGUGAUUUUAUACCUUAUUUUGUUGUUUUAUUGACAAGAUCAGUUAUAUCAACCAAUUCUAUCUGUUUGAUGAAUUCUCUUUGUUUUUGUUGUGAUAAUGCUUUGGUCAACCCGUCCGCUGGCAUGUUGCUUGUAGGUGUCCACUGUACUGAGAUAUCGCCGGAUUGUAUCCGUUCUCGCAACCAAUUGCUGUAGAUAUCAACAUGGCGUAAUUUGGUUGUGAUAAAAGGAUCUUCCUUAGUAAGAAUUCCAACUGUUUGUCGAUUAUCACAUUGGAUUGAAAUUUUGUGCCCUGGAUUGAAUCCCAGAUGAUCAAAGAAUCUCUUCCAUCAGAUUGACUCCUUGCCUGCCUGUGAUAUAGCUAGUAGUUCAGCUUCAGUAGUGGAAGUUGUUACUAUUCUCUGUCUCUUUGACUUCCAAUCAAC